rnacentral:lncRNA from 1 species
UGAAUGGAAAAGAGUUCAGUUUAGGGUUUAAAACCCUAAUGCUGGCUGAAUGGAAAAGAGUUCAGUUUAGGGUUUAAAACUCUAAUGCUGACUAAAGGAAAAAUUCAGUUUAGGGUUUAAAACCCUAAUGCUGACAUGCAUGGAAAAGCUUAGUUUAGGGUUUAAAACCCUAAUGCUGGCUGAAUGGAAAAAGUUCAGUUUAGGGUUUAAAACCCUAAUGCUGACUGGAAGGAAAAGCUCAGUUUAGGGUUUAAAACCCUAAUGCUGGCUAAAGGAAAAAGUUCAGUUUGGGGUUUAAAACCCUAAUGCUGACUGAAAGGAAAAGCUCAGUUUAAGGUUUAAAACCAUAAUGCUGGCUGAAAGGAAAAAUCCAGUUUAGGGUUUAAAACCCUAAUGCUGAUUGCAUGGAAAAGCUCAGUUUAGGGUUUAAAACCCUAAUGCUGGCUGAAUGGAAAAAUCAGUUUAGGGUUUAAAACCCUAAUGCUGACUAAAAGAAAAAUUCAGUUUAGGGUUUAAAACCCUAAUGCUGACUGGAAGGAAAAGCUCAGUUUAGGAUUUAAAACCCUAAUGCUGGCUGAAUGGAAAAAGUUCAGUUUAGGGUUUAAAACCCUAAUGCUGACUAAAGGAAAAAUUCAGUUUAGGGUUUAAAACCCUAAUGCUGAUUGCAUGGAAAAGCUCAGUUUAGGGUUUAAAACCCUAAUGCUAGCUGAAUGGAAAAAUCAGUU